rnacentral:rRNA from 1 species
ACGGGAGGCAGCAGUGGGGAAUAUUGGGCAAUGGGCGAAAGCCUGACCCAGCAACGCCGCGUGAAGGAAGAAGGUCUUCGGAUUGUAAACUUCUUUUAUGAGGGACGAAGGACGUGACGGUACCUCGUGAAUAAGCCACGGCUAACUACGUGCCAGCAGCCGCGGUAAUACGUAGGUGGCAAGCGUUAUCCGGAUUUACUGGGUGUAAAGGGCGCGUAGGCGGGAGAGCAAGUCAGAUGUGAAAUCCAUGGGCUUAACCCAUGAACUGCAUUUGAAACUGUUCUUCUUGAGUGCUGGAGAGGUAGACGGAAUUCCUUGUGUAGCGGUGAAAUGCGUAGAUAUAAGGAAGAACACCAGUGGCGAAGGCGGUCUACUGGACAGUAACUGACGCUGAGGCGCGAAAGCGUGGGGAGCAAACAGGAUUAGAUACCCUGGUA